UACGUAGGGUGCGAGCGUUUGUCCGGAAUUAUUGGGCGUAAAGGGCUCGUAGGCGGUCUGUUGCGUCAGGAGUGAAAACUCGGGGCUUAACCCCGAGCCUGCUUCUGAUACGGGCAGACUAGAGGUAUGCAGGGGAGAACGGAAUUCCUGGUGUAGCGGUGAAAUGCGCAGAUAUCAGGAGGAACACCGGUGGCGAAGGCGGUUCUCUGGGACGGUACUGACGCUGAGACGCGAAAGCGUGGGGAGCGAACAGG
rnacentral:rRNA from 1 species